AUACGAAGGGUGCAAACGUUGCUCGGAAUCAUUGGGCGUAAAGCGCACGUAGGCGGCUCCAAAAGUCGGAUGUGAAAUCCCUGGGCUCAACCGAGGAAGUGCAUCCGAAACUGCGGAGCUUGAGUAUGGAAGAGGGUCGCGGAAUUCCCGGUGUAGAGGUGAAAUUCGUAGAUAUCGGGAGGAACACCAGUGGCGAAGGCGGCGACCUGGGCCAAUACUGACGCUGAGGUGCGAAAGCGUGGGGAGCAAACAGGA
rnacentral:rRNA from 1 species